AUACUCUGGUUUCUCUUCAGAUCGUAUAAAUCUUUCGCCUUUUACUAAAGAUUUCCGUGGAGAGGAACAAUUUGAGUCGUUUACCAAUUUUUUGAGGCUCUGCUUUUUGCAGGGCU
ensembl:snRNA U5 U5 spliceosomal RNA